rnacentral:rRNA from 2 species
UGACCUCAAAUCAGGUAGGACUACCCGCUGAACUUAAGCAUAUCAAUAAGCGGAGGAAAAGAAACUAACAAGGAUUCCCCUAGUAACUGCGAGUGAAGCGGGAAAAGCUCAAAUUUAAAAUCUGGCAGUCUUUGGCUGUCCGAGUUGUAAUCUAGAGAAGUAUUAUCCGCGCUGGACCGUGUACAAGUCUCCUGGAAUGGAGCGUCAUAGAGGGUGAGAAUCCCGUCUUUGACACGGACUGCCAGGGCUUUGUGAUGUGCUCUCAAAGAGUCGAGUUGUUUGGGAAUGCAGCUCAAAAUGGGUGGUAAAUUCCAUCUAAAGCUAAAUAUUGGCGAGAGACCGAUAGCGAACAAGUACCGUGAGGGAAAGAUGAAAAGAACUUUGGAAAGAGAGUUAAACAGUACGUGAAAUUGCUGAAAGGGAAACGCUUGAAGUCAGUCGCGUUGUCCAGGGAUCAACUCUUGCUUUUGCUUGGUGUAUUUUCUGGUCAACGGGUCAGCAUCAAUUUUGACUAUUGGAAAAAGAUCAAGGGAAUGUAGCAUCUUUUGGAUGUGUUAUAGCCUUUGGUUGCAUACAGUAGUUGGGAUUGAGGAACUCAGCACGCCGCAAGGCCGAGUUUUUAACUACGUACGUGCUUAGGAUGC